GUAGGUGGCAAGCGUUGUCCGGAAUUAUUGGGCGUAAAGCGCGCGCAGGCGGUUCUUUAAGUCUGAUGUGAAAGCCCACGGGCUCAACCGUGGAGGGUCAUUGGAAACUGGAGAACUUGAGUACAGAAGAGGAAAGCGGAAUUCCACGUGUAGCGGUGAAAUGCGUAGAGAUGUGGAGGAACACCAGUGGCGAAGGCGGCUUUCUGGUCUGUAACUGACGCUGAGGCGCGAAAGCGUGGGGAGCAAACAGGAUUAGAUACCCUGGUAGUCCACGCCGUAAACGAUGAGUGCCAAGUGUUAGGGGGUUUCCGCCCCUUAGUGCUGCAGCUAACGCAUUAAGCACUCCGCCUGGGGAGUACGGCCGCAAGGCUG
rnacentral:rRNA from 1 species